UAUAUCUUUUCUUUUAGAGUGGUAAAGUUAAAAGAAAAUUUAAACCUUUUCUUCCAAGAAUGUACAAUUUAAAAUGAAAAAUUAAAUGUAGAAAAGGCUAACUGAUACAUAGAAUAUGUUCUAUUUAGGAAUGGCUUCUUGGAUAAGGACAUAAUAUUCAUGCUUCUGUGUCUGUAAUGGUAAUUGAAUCAGCAUUAUCUCUAAGUUUACUAGUAACCCAGACAUUGUGAUUUUGGAUUUGAACUCUAAGGCGUCAAGUUCAAGUGUUGAGCUGUAUGUUCUCUAUUAUAUAGUUGGAAAAUUCAACCUUGGUUGCCUAAUGUUUCAUAAAUCAUUAUACAUAUGUAACAUGUUUUAAACAGCUUUCCAUAUAAUUCUUGUGAAUUGGUUUUGUAGAUAUGGCUAGAGAUUUUUUUUAGAUUAUUUACAGGUAACAUUAGGAGAUAUGUUUAAAUACAAUUUUUCCUUAUAAAAUGGUACCCAAACAUUUGUGUUUGCUAAAUAAUAUUAAAUGUACAUUCUUUAUUAGUGUAGGUGGAAAAUAAUUUUCUCUGCAUGUAACCCAGUCUUGCAUAAACAAGCAAGGAAGCCUUAAUUCAAAGCUAUUGCAGCAGGAGAGAGAGGCCAGAACUCAAUCUGAGUUCUUCUCCAAGGAAAACAACAGGCAGGAGAGUUUUAAGAGGUGAGGUGGAGGCAUCUCAGUUUGCCUUUGUGAACUGGGUUUACCUACAGGAAAAGGAAACUUUUUCAUAGGAUAGGAAAUAGUUUUAUAACUUAUAGCAAAUUAGGCUCCUACCUUCCUACAGACACUGAAAGAUAAGGGCACUUUUUUCCUCGAGGGCUAUGUUUCAAAAGAAUGGAUUCUAGGUCCUUGAGGAAGAUAUUUCUGUGCUGUAAAACUGGCAAGGACCUUUUAAAAAUAUUUACAUUUCAAAGGAGCAGAGAGAGAUUGUAUAAUGAUAUGUUAUCUAAAGUAAAAGCUCUAAGAAAAGAGAGAUGAAGGGCUUAGAAUCAGCAAGAUAACUGUAAAGUUUAGUCAAGCUGAGGGAGACCAACUUGACGAAUGUGUAUGUGGCAAUUAUAUGUUAUACUUUGGACUUUUCUGAAGUUCUUUGACUGUGGACCUCUGGGUGUGACUUGUUUGCACCUUUGGAAGGGGGAGGAACAAUAAGAUGAUGCUUUGCCAUUCUUCUUUACUCUCUUACUGUUUAUUUUUGUCUUUAAAUUUUAUAAGUUGAGAAGAAAUUAGCUAUUUAUCCUAGUAACAAGCAAUAAUGAAAUAAGUUAUUGGAACUGCACAGAAGAUUAUCAUAGAAAUACAAUUAGUGGUAGUAUUUUUAGUGCUUGUAUUGAACUUAGCUAUCCUGAUGCAUAGAGAAGAGAUGUGGUUAUAUUAUAAAGAUAAGUAAGUCAAGGCAAGUUAUGCUGAACAAUUGCUUAAACAGAAAAGCCUUAUUCUUAUUCUAGCAGUUUCUUACCUUCAAACUGGAAUUAAAAGAGAAGGAGGGUUUAUGUGUCAUCUUGGUAAGGAGACAAUAAUAACUGUAAAUUUUCAUUCUCCUUUAGAAUUUUUUAAACAAAAGGCUUUACUUUCUGGAAAAUUCUGUAGUCCUAUGAUGCUGAAACAUUAUUCAUUAUAAAAGGAUUCAUAAAAAUAAUGAUAAAAAGAGCUACCUAGCUAAUUCUUAAUUCUCUGAAAGUGAAAGCUCUCUAAUACCUAUUUUUGAAUGCUAUUGAGGGUAAUUAGAUAUGAUUUUCCAGUUGCUAGGGAAAGAACAGAUGUGACUGGGCUUCCUGAGAUCAUAAUUCUGUGGUGCUAAUGUGAUGCUGACCGUGUGAGGGGAUGUGAAGGUGAGACAGUUCUCAGAAGAUGUAAAGAUUUGGAACUGGAAGUCUUUGAACUAUAUUUAAAGGCAUCUUUAGCAAGGACUGAAAAUCAUCUUAUUUUUGCCUUCCUGUAUUUUCUCCUUUCUUUGUCCCCUUUUGCCGUCCUACUGCAGCUGAAUUCUUAGGUUCUCUCUCCUGUCUCUUCCUUUCCAACCUUUUCCUUCUAUUUUUCUCCUUUAGGACUGUUCUUUAGGAAAAUAGGACACUGAAAGAAUGUGCAAUGUCGAACAGCCAUCAGGGAGUAAGUCCUAAUCAUGCCAGUACUGAGUAAGCCAUGUCUGAAGACUCAGCCUUUCCUCUGGGUUUAAUAGGAUAAAGCUCGUCAUGGAAAAGGAAUUGAGAAAUGUGGCUUUACUGAUAAGGAAGCUUCACCAUAAACUAUGAAUUAGCAGCAGCUCACUGGAUUUAGUUCGGCUAUUAUGAUGCCUUUUUUACCCCCUGGAUUCUGUGGAUGUAUCACCUAGGACAAUGACACUCCAUCUAUUUGCACAGGUGCAAGGGGGAAAAAAAAGCCAGAAAAUGUACACACAGACUCUCUCUCUCUCUCUCUCACACACACACACACACACACACACACAAGCAUGCCAAUCAUACUAAAUUACAGAAAAGAAUAAUUCAUCAACAAAGGAAAUGUUAUGAAGUCCUGUGACUCAUCAUUCAUGAUUUACUCAUAAUGCCAAUUAAAAAAUAAUUUUGAAAUAAGUUGACAGAUUGAACCAGAGGCAUAAGUCUAAGCUCUCCAGGAUGUGUAGCUCGUCACAGUAAACACUAUGGGAACAGCUGCUGUCUUUGUGUGGCUCACACCUAGGUUGCUUUUGUUGACCCUAAUGAUGACAAAACCAAUUAGCAGAUUAGAAAUUGCCAGAAAUCAGAGCUACCUUGCUUAAGAAUCGCUGAAAUUGAAUAGUAUUUUGGCUAAUGCUAUUUUCUGUUCAUCUAAAGAUUUACAGAAUUAAGACUGUUUUGUCUGUAAACAUCUGUUGCUUCAGGAGAGCAUCUAUCAUGCAGUUGCCAAAUGAGGUAGACAUAUGUGCCUAUGAAAAGCCUUAAGAUCUGUGGUACUACUGAAUUUCUUACCAAGGAUUAAACCUUUUAAUCAAGCUUUUUAAAAAUAAACCUACUUUAUAAAAUGAACUGGUGGAUAGUUUAAUGUAAAGGAGAGUAGUUCAAAGGAUAUUUCAUUUAAAUGUAAAUAUGGACUAUGAGUUAUUAAAGAGAAUGUGGCUUUUCAUAUUCUUAUUUUUCUGGACACAUGGGAUUGGAGUCACCUUUUGAACUUGCACAGUAAGCUUCUAAACUUAAAUCUUACUGUUGGGGAUUUAAGUUCUUUAUUUUCACAGUUAAAAGACAAAUGCUACCUAAAGCUUUAUCUGCAGCAUUAAUUUUUCCCAUAAAGACAGGGGAACUGAAUUAGCAGGGGAAAGGGUAGGACUCUGGAACAUUUAGGUCAUAGCUUUAGAAUCUGAGCUCUCAGCAGUUUCAUGCUUUGUGGAUAAUUAAAAUCGAUACAAAAUAAUUACACAGCUGGAAGGAUCUCCAGAUACUUAAUCCAGUCCCUUUCCUCCAGGAGAAACACACUCUAGUCGAAACUAACUUCCGUACAAGCAGCGAAAAAGAAAUAGGAAACCCUAGAUUCACUCUCCGUGCUUACUAAGAACACUGCAGGUGUUCAACAGGAAAUUAUUGUAUUACUCUUAUAAGGAUGAUGUAAGCAUCAUACAGUAGUCUUCUGCAAUACCAGGAUUAGCAGUGGAAGGCGGUGAUGGCCAAAAUGACUGUCAUUUUUAGUGUCUUUUAUGCCAUAAAAGCCCAGAGCAAGUGCUACUGCCUCCAUGAAACCUUGCUGGUCUCAAAAUCCAUUGGUUAUUCAAUUUUUGGUAUCUUUAUUUAGUAAGGCUUUAGGAUGUGUACAUGCAUAAGUCUGUAUUAUGGAUAUAGACGGCUGUGUAAAGAAGCUUUUGACAUCUCUCCGCCUCAGUGAGAAGUCCAUGAAUGCUACUCGCCAGAACCAAGCAGAAUGCUUUGUACUUAGUCAUUACUUAGCACAUGCUGGCUCAUAAUAUUUUUUUCUAAAACUGGUGAAGCUAAUUUUCCUUAUUGUUCUGUCCUCAGGGCAGGUGAGGACAAUCAUGAGAUGUGUUGAGUCUCCUGGCUAUUUCAAUUCUCUAUCUCAACAUUAUGUUCCUCUUUAUUUCAUUUUUAAGGCUCCUUUUCUACUUUAUAGAGGUCAAAUAUCAUAAGAACAAAGUAAAGCACAUAUUUCCAGGUUCCAUUAAUGUUCCACUUUCUUCAAGUAAAAUUUAAUGUGACAAAAUUAGUCUACAACAAAAGAUUUGUGGAUGGUCUCUUGGAGUUCAAUUUUAUUUUUUAGAUACACUUUUCUGAAAAGAAAAAAAAAAAGGUAAUGGUACUCAAAGCUUUUGGUAAAUCAAUAGAAUUCAAAAAUCUUAAAGUCAUGUGUCAAGUUAGAUCAGUGGAUGCGUCCAAGGAAUCUAUUAAGUUUUAGGGAAACUCAAUGUAUUAAAUUCACUACAUGUAUUGAAAAAAAAUAGAACUUUUCAUCGGUAUUUCCUAUUGGGCCACCAUGUGAAACCACACCUUAUCCAGACCCAUAGUAUUUCCUUUAAUCCAGCCACCUCUGACAAGUGGUCAAAAUACAAGAUUUCUAUUACAGAAGAUAUUUCCCGUGGAUUGUUAUUUUUACAACUAACUUCCUUUACAGUUUCUUUUCUGUAUUUUGUGGCCUACAUCCUACAUUUCUUUACAAUAUAUUCUUUUUUCCUCCUUUAGCUAAUAAACUCCCAGUUACCUCGUUCACCAAGAAACAAAGGUAACUCAGGUGGAGGCUACAUAUUCCAUAGGAAUUAGGGGAGUGAGGAGGUGAGGGCUGAAAACGGGAAUAGCAUUCUAAAUCUCCAUUUCCUACUCAAAGACUCUCACUUCUUAUGCAAAACCUGUAUUCUGCAUACUCAUCCCAGACACACUGUCUUCUAAUCAUUGAGGACCCUGGAAUCUGGCUUGUUAUCUGCCUUUUGAACCCCGAACCCAAGUAUCCUUCUACAGCUUCAGUGUCUUUAUGACAAACCCAUCAAUUUAUCCCAAGAAAAUUCACUGAUACUCUGUUCAACGAACGUCAUCAAAACUCAAGUCCAGAGAAAAUAAUGACUCUCUCUCUCUCCUCUGUUCUCUCCACUCAGCCUCCAUGCCCUUCAACCUUAUAAUUAUCUAUUUAAUUUUCCCAAAGCACCACGUUAAUCCAGGCUAAUUCUCAUUGCUAUGUGUUCAGUUUUCCUAUUCUGAUGUUCAAAGACCAUCAAAAUUGGUUCUCAACCUUUGCCUCUAGACAUUUUUGGUUAUUUUGACAAAAUUAUGAUUAAUCCAACAGAUCUUCAAAUAAGCCUAACUUGCUAGACUCCAAACCAUCCCCAUGGCCUCUCUCCACCUUAUCCUACCCUCCCCUGAGAAAACAAACAAAACGCUCUCCUUUAAUAUCCAAAUAUCCAAGUAAUCUAGGAGAACUUCAUAUGAAUGUGUCUCUUUUCUUCUCAGAAGUUCUAUGGAGUUGUGUCCCAGCCUUUGAAAGCAUGCAUUUCUUUGUUUUGUGAUUAAAUGCAAACUUGUCUAAGCCCCUUAAUUGCCUACAACGUAGAACUAGUUUACUUUGUGUGUCAAUGAAAUAGGUUAUUAGUUCAGUGUCUACCACUAAUCAGCUCUUUCUGAUUUACCACUUCCCUACUUUGAACUACAAUGGCAUAUGUAUAUAGCAGGAGAAUGAGGACGGCAGUUAAAAUGGUGCAUUGAAUUUUCUCUGUUUUCUAUGAAAUCAUCAGAAACAGUGGCCAGUGCUCUAUGUUUAUUAUUUCCAUAUCACUCUCUUUAUAAUAGUCCAAAAUAAUAGAUAUCAAUAAAUAUUCAUUAAAAUUAAUUGAAUAAGGAGGAAGUGAGUAUUUACCAAAUUUCUUUUACAGAGCACAGUAAUUUUUAAGGGGCUAAUCAUCCACCUGAGCAUAUAGUUCUCAAUCAUUUACCGCUUCUUUUCCUUUCAUCUGUGGCUGGAUUUCUCCACUGAGCUCCAUCUUCUAGGUCACAUUUUCAGCCUAUGGCAAAUACUAAAAUAAGAAUUAAAAGCUUGGCAUAUAAGGUUUGAAAAAAUAGACUUCUAAGUUUUAAUGACAAGUUGUAUGAUGCCACAAUGUCUUUGAAAAGACUUGGCAAAAUGUUUCAAUUACACCUCAUCAUUAUGGUUCUUGUGCCUUCCUGGAUAUUUCUCUCAUAAACUAUGUAAAAUUCACCUGCUACUCACCAUUCGCAGAUUUCCACACAUAGUUCAUUUUGUGUUAACCUCAUUGUAAGUCAGAAAUUAUAACUUCUUCCUGUCAUGUAGUUUGUCUCUAGUUAUAAAUUCUCCAUAAUUAUGUAGAUUUUUCUUCAAAUGAUAAUAUUUUGCAUACAUGAACAUAUCUUUUUGGGUUUAUACACUGAUAAGCAACAUUGAAAAAUUAAUUCAGAGUUCCUGUCGUGGCUCGGUGGUUAAGGAAUAUGACUAGGAACUAUGAGGUUGCAGGUUUGAUCCCUGGCCUUGCUCAGUGGGUUAAGGAUGCGAGCGUUGCUGUGAGCUGUGGUGUAGGUCACAGACGCGGCUUAGAUUUGGCCUUGC
rnacentral:lncRNA from 1 species